GAAAUCGCAUGGAAACAGUAGAGGGCAGCAAUACGCCUUGGAUGCGUCUAGUCUGCCAAAACCAAAGAAGAAGAAGAAGUAGCUGCCUCUUUCUCCUUUGUCUUUGCCUGGUGGCUGUCACAUGGUCAGACCUGAGUUUCCUUCCUGGUUGUGCACUUUUACCUGGUCAUCUUGGUGUCCAUUGAAUCUAGUGGUGUUAAGCGGGAUCAGCGGAAAGCUGGGUAAAUGUAGCUACCUGGGCAGGUAUGAGAAGCUGCAUAUUGUCAACAGGAAGUGUCUGAAAUUACAUCUUUUAUGACAGCGUAAUGAUUUUGGUUUUUUAUUUCAGACACGAUCAGCUGCUGUUUUGUCUUGUUUUGUCCUGAGUUUUGUCCUGAGUUUUGUCUUGUUUUGCCCACUGUUUAGCCUUUAGUUUUGUCCUUAGUUUUGCUGUAGUUUGCUUGUUCUGUUUUGGUAGCAUUUUAUCAAAUUGUCAUUAAAAUAGGCCUUUUUAGCUGGACCAACUGGUUUUAUAUAGGUUUUAACUAUUUCUUUUGUGUAACUUUUUCUUUCUUGUCCCUUACAGUGCAGUGGUUGCUGGCUAGCGGUGGAGGCUAGGCACUCUGGGUGGUUCCCUGCACCUUUUUGUUGUAGUGAUAGGCGCACUGGGACACAGUAGUCUGCACCUGUUUGCCGUGUUUUGCAGUGAGUUCACGUGUGGUGGGUAAGUGCACUCCUGGGACACUUCCUUUGGUAGACUGCCUCCCUCUUGCUAGCUCCCACUCACUCCCCCUUCCCUUUUUGUUGGUUUUAGCCACUUUACCUGGAAGUGUUUUAUUAAUUAAAGACCAAUUGUUAAAAAGAAUAAAUUGUAAUAAAAUUUUGAUACAUCCUUUCCAUAAAUUUGACUUAAAAUUCAUUGCCAAUUACUAACUCCUCUUUUCUUCCCACAGCCACUUCCAGUCACAUUAAUAUAUUUUUGCAUUUAAACUUAUAAAUAAAUUUUUGAGUUGCUUUUUGAA